UGUUUAACUUAUUCCCCCCAGCUUUCAUCCGUUCUCUUAAACUGAUCCCAUCAUGAUAGACAUUGGGAUUAAUAAAUGCAUCCAUGCUUGCAACAGUGGAAGAAGCAUUAGUACACUGUGAAUGAAUCUGACCUCGAGACUCACUAGCAGAUACUCGGGGUAACUGUGUUUUGCAAAUGAUUCCUUUGCCUUUCAAUGUGCUUUUCACAAAAUACUCAGAAAACCCCGACUUGGAGAUAAUCUUAGUACGGAUACCCUCAGAAGAGGGUAAUACAUUG
rnacentral:lncRNA from 1 species